UUUGCCACAUAUGGUCAUUUUCACCGACUGGUGAAUGCAUUGACUAGGUUAGCACUUUCUCCACUGGUGCAGCCCUGUCUCACAGGGGAAGGGACUGAGAUUCUGGGAGGUAGUGCAGCUCGUAGGUGGCAGAGCUGGGGCUGGAACCACACCCUUUACAUUCCAGUUAUCUUUCCCGCUUUGUGUGACACCCUGAGGACUGGCUUUGGUUGGGUGAGUAAGGGAGCACAUGUGAGUUCUGGGUACCUGGGAUGAGGAGGAGGUGUAGGAGAUCCUCGGGCAGGAACUCUCCACAAGCAGGGAAGGAGUCCUAGGGGAAGGGGCCCGGGCUGUUCCCACUACAGCACACAGGGCACACCUCUCUCUCACCUGGUUAUUGUCAGAGUGAACACCCUACCCUUGAACCUCGAGGUGGUGUUCAGAAAACAACCCAGGCUAUCCUCAACCAGUUAGCAGAAUUUAGAACCAGCAUGAAAAAGAGAGAAAUAUAAGGUGAGCAAGGGAGAAUUUGACCAGGAGACAGACAAGGCAGCCUCUGGCUGGUUUUCCCUGAGGCUGAGUGGUUGUCCAGGUUUACCAGGAGCCAGGAGCUGCAGUGGACACUUUAGUGGCUAAGGAGCUCCACAUGUAUGAGCAGACUCUGACCUGACCACAGUGGUCAGUGUGCCCUGCUCUGCACCAACCAUUCGGAAAUACGUUAGCUACAACUCAGUGCACUUUGCAAAAGGCAAAAAGAUGUAUACGAGAUCCUAGAAUGUUAGUUGCUAUAGCAACAUCUGCCUUUAUUAUCACCUAAAUCCAUUCACCAUGUAAAUAUAGUAACUAUUUGACUUCCCCACCCCCAAUCCAUUUGCUAGGAUUAAAAAAAAUUGUGACAACUGGAAAAAACCCCAACAAACAGAAGCGUGUGUGUGUGUGUGUGUGUGUGUAGUGGGCUUUCAGAGGACGAAAGAGGAUGAAGACAUUUGUGGGGCAUGUAGAUGUUCAUAUAUUCCAAGUUCUUGGAUGUAAGACUUACAUCUCAACCAAGGCAGGAAGAUGAAUUCCUAGAAGGAAUGGGCCAGAUUGCCACAUGGAAAGUUGAGUGACGAGGAAUGAAGUAGGUGAGGUGCAGAAGAGGGGAAUGAUAUCACAAUGGGAAGAAUUCUAGUUUGUAAUCAGACAGACCUGGGCGCAAGUCUUGGUAUCAUUACUUACCGCCUGAGUAACACUGGACCACCCAAUCACCUGAGCCUCAAUUUCCUCAUCUGAAAGUGGGAAAAUCAUAUCCCACAGCCUGUUUCAGCAACUUGGUCUUCUUCCGGGAGGCCUCAGUACCCAUGAGCCUGAGCUAGAGAUGUGCUCACCAGCAGGAGUUUGUUUCCUGUGCACCAGUCAGUUCCCUGGAGGGGCAGGUGAAAAGGAUGUCCGGUGCCUCAGCCAAGAAGAUAUAACAACUGGGAGUGACUUGAAAGGUGGGAUUCUAGAAACAUUUGGUGGCUAUUCACAUGCCUGUCUGGAUAGCCGGAAGACUGAGCUCAGCUGGGAUUGAAGAUUAGAAUGCCUCCGUACACCUACCUCUCCCUGGGCCUGGGUCCCCAGGGUAGUCAGAUUUCUUAUGUACAUGGUAGCUCAGAGCUCCAAGUGCAAGUGUUCCAGCAACCAAGGAAAAGCUGCAUGGCCUGAUGAUCCAGACUUCAGAAUACUCUCGUUUGGAGGAGUCACAAUUCCUUUCAUAUCCAAAGGGAAGAGAUAUAGACUCUAAUGGGGAGAGUAUCAAAGGAUAUAUCUGAUUAUCGAAUAUUUAGGAGGUUUGUUCACUAUAUAGAGAAAUGAAACUCAAAGAUUAAGCCAAAGACAUGGUUGAUAUAAUGUGGGUAAUUUGCUUUUGUCAACAUUUCCUUUAAAACUAUUUUUUUAAAAUUUGCUUGACAAAAAGAAUAUACUAUAAAUGAUAUAGGUAA